UACGUAGGGUGCAAGCGUUAAUCGGAAUUACUGGGCGUAAAGCGUGCGCAGGCGGUUAUGUAAGACAGGUGUGAAAUCCCAGGGCUUAACCUUGGAACUGCAUUUGUGACUGCAUAGCUAGAGUACGGUAGAGGGGGAUGGAAUUCCGCGUGUAGCAGUGAAAUGCGUAGAUAUGCGGAGGAACACCGAUGGCGAAGGCAAUCCCCUGGACCUUUACUGACGCUCAUGCACGAAAGCGUGGGGAGCAAACAGG
rnacentral:rRNA from 1 species